rnacentral:rRNA from 1 species
UAUGAGGGGUGCAAGCGUUGCUCGGAUUUACUGGGCGUAAAGGGCGCGUAGGCGGCGUGGUAAGUCACUUGUGAAAUCUCCGAGCUUAACUCGGAACGGUCAAGUGAUACUGCUGUGCUAGAGUGCAGAAGGGGCAAUCGGAAUUCUUGGUGUAGCGGUGAAAUGCGUAGAUAUCAAGAGGAACACCUGAGGUGAAGACGGGUUGCUGGGCUGACACUGACGCUGAGGCGCGAAAGCGUGGGGAGCAAACAGG